CCUACGGGAGGCUGCAGUGAGGAAUAUUGGUCAAUGGGCGUAAGCCUGAACCAGCCAAGUCGCGUGAGGGAUGAAGGUUCUAUGGAUCGUAAACCUCUUUUAUAAGGGAAUAAAGUGAGGGACGUGUCCCGUUUUGUAUGUACCUUAUGAAUAAGGAUCGGCUAACUCCGUGCCAGCAGCCGCGGUAAUACGGAGGAUCCGAGCGUUAUCCGGAUUUAUUGGGUUUAAAGGGUGCGUAGGCUGCCUUUUAAGUCAGCGGUGAAAGUCUGUGGCUCAACCAUAGAAUUGCCGUUGAAACUGGGAGACUUGAGUAUGUUUGAGGCAGGCGGAAUGCGUGGUGUAGCGGUGAAAUGCUUAGAUAUCACGCAGAACCCCGAUUGCGAAGGCAGCUUGCUAAGCCAUGACUGACGCUGAUGCACGAAAGCGUGGGGAUCAAACAGGAUUAGAUACCCUUGUAGUC
rnacentral:rRNA from 1 species